rnacentral:rRNA from 1 species
AUUGAACGCUGGCGGCAUGCUUUACACAUGCAAGUCGAACGGUAACAGGCCUUCGGGUGCUGACAAGUGGCGAACGGGUGAGUAAUGCAUCGGAACGUACCCAGAGGUGGGGGAUAACGCAGCGAAAGCUGUGCUAAUACCGCAUGUGAUCUGAGGAUGAAAGCGGGGGACCGAGCAGCAAUGUUUGGCCUCGCGCCUUUGGAGCGGCCGAUGUCGGAUUAGCUAGUUGGUGGGGUAAAGGCCUACCAAGGCGACGAUCCGUAGCUGGUCUGAGAGGACGACCAGCCACACUGGGACUGAGACACGGCCCAGACUCCUACGGGAGGCAGCAGUGGGGAAUUUUGGACAAUGGGCGCAAGCCUGAUCCAGCAAUGCCGCGUGCGGGAAGAAGGCCUUCGGGUUGUAAACCGCUUUUGGCAGGAACGAAACGGUGUCCGCUAAUACCGGGCGCUAAUGACGGUACCUGCAGAAUAAGCACCGGCUAACUACGUG